rnacentral:rRNA from 1 species
GGCGGAAUGCUUUACACAUGCAAGUCGAGCGGCAGCGCGGGGCAACCUGGCGGCGAGCGGCGAACGGGUGCGUAACACAUCGGAACAUGUCCAUUCGUGGGGGAUAGCCCGGCGAAAGCCGGAUUAAUACCGCAUGAGCCCGAGAGGGGAAAGUGGGGGACUCGAAAGGGCCUCACGCGGAUGGGUUGGCCGAUGUCCGAUUAGCUAGUUGGCGGGGUAAGAGCCCACCAAGGCGAUGAUCGGUAGCUGGUCUGAGAGGAUGAUCAGCCACACUGGGACUGAGACACGGCCCAGACUCCUACGGGAGGCAGCAGUGGGGAAUUUUGGACAAUGGGGGCAACCCUGAUCCAGCCAUUCCGCGUGAGUGAAGAAGGCCUUCGGGUUGUAAAGCUCUUUUGUCCGGAGCGAAAAGGUUACGGUGAAUAUCCGUGACUACUGACGGUACCGGAAGAAUAA